rnacentral:lncRNA from 1 species
UUUUAUAUUAAAAAGAAAAUUUUAUACAAUUCAAAAGAUGGAAUAGCAAAAUAAAACUUCUUUCACAACCCGAAAGAUUAGGCUAGCAUAAGAUUUAACAUUCUCACAUUUUGAGAUGUAAAAUUAGUAAUCAAACUACUAACAUCAAGUUUUUCCAACAUAUUUUUUUAAUAGAAAUCAUAGCUAAUCCAUUCAAUCGCUCUUGUGACAUGGAUGAUCGAAGAUAAGACUUAAUCAAUUUCAACUUCGAAAAACUUCUUUCAGCAGAGACAACUAUGACAUGAAUGGUCAAUAAUACUCUAUAAGCAAUCCAGGCAUUUGCAAAACAACAGUUCAUUCUCUUAAUGUAAUCCAAUACAUCAAUUGCUCCAAAUAUGUUUUCAGACAUCGCUUCCCUUAAAAUUUUCAACUCAGAAAAUAAUUCCGUUUCAUCAAUAUCAGAAAUCGUAUUAUGCUUUGAGUAAUUUUCAAGUUUAAUGCAAGAACACUUCAAAACAUCAUCAUCAAUAAAUUUAAGUCUUUUCAAAUCAAAUAAAAAUCCAAAAAUAUCAUCAUAUUUCUGAAAUUGCUCAAAUCUAUUCUCAAGUGAUGAUAGAGCUUGAUCCACUAUAUAUAAGAAAUAAUUGAUCUUAAAAGAUUUUUCAACUGUUUGUGUUAUCUGUUCAGAAGAAGUCUCAUCAAACUGCUUUUUCUAUGUAUAACCCGUUUUUCACGAAAGAUCGGUUCAAUUUCUAAUUCACUUGCAAUCUCUUUAGCAUCUACCAUGGCCGAUUCAAAACCAGAUUCUCUAUAACUUUUGAAAAUUGAAAUGAGGCCUUUUAAAUGGUCUAUAGAAACAUCAAUAUGCAUGUCUUCCGCUUGCAAAUAUUUUCUUACUCUGUUAAUAUUAUUCAAUACUUCAUACCAAAUAAUCAUCCCAAGUAAGAAUUCAAAAUUGUCAAUUUCAUAUGUUGCCAAACACUCCGCCUCACUUUUUGUCUUAGGAUCAUCAAUAUUUGCUAAUUGAAGUAACGCUUUUUUUAUCUGCGGAGCUUGAAAUCUUAUCGCUCUAACACUUUCAAUAUGACUUUCCCACCGAGUUUGUGACAAGGGCUUAAGGGUAAGACCAGUUACGUUCUCUUUGAAAAUUUUCCACCGUUUAGUAGAUGAAGAAAAUAAAGUGUAUAUACGUUGCACCACCCCCAAAGAAAGAUUUAGCUUUUGAACAACAAGUGGCCAUAUCACAAAGUGCAAGAUUAAGACUAUGACAUCCACAAGGACUGUAGAAUGCUCUAGGAUUUAGUUGUAAUAAUCUACUUUGAACUCCUUUAUGUUGUCCUUUCAUGUUAGCACCAUUAUCAUAGCCUUGACCCCUUACAUCAUCAAUAUCAAGUUCUAAAUUAUUCAAAGCAUCCACUAGUUCAUCAAAAAGUCCCUUACCUGAUGUAUCAUCCACCAAUAAAAAUCCUAAAAAGAAUUCUUCAACCUUCACUGGACUUGCCGAAAUAUCUACACACCUCAAUAUUAUAGACAUUUGUUCUUCAUGACUUGUAUCUGGAGUGCAAUCAAGAAUAACAGAAAAGUAUUUAGAAUUUUUGAGUUUCUCAAUGAUUAUUUUUUUUAUCUCGCCCGCUAGCAUAAGUAUCAGCUCAUUCUGAAUUUUGUGUCCUAGAUAAUGAUAAUGAAUCUCUUUAUUUUUUAUUCGACAAACAUGCUCUUGCAUUACGGGAUCGAACUCAGUAAUCAUUUGAAUCAUGCUUAAGAAGAUACCAUUAUUUUCUUGAUAUAUCUUCUUAUUAUCCCCACGAAAUGCUAAAUUAUUUUUAGCAAGAGUUUUCACCACAGAUAUUAUUCUCAGUAAUACUUGUCUCCAAUGUUCUCUAUCUCUAUUGAUUUGUUCUUGCACACUUUUAUCAAUUGUUUGACUCUUUUCGAAAUCUUAAUUCCAUUUCUAUCCAUUUACUCAUGUUAUUGAUGUGGUCACAACUCACUUCAUGCAUUUUAAGCUUUUCACCAAUAUUUUUCCAAUCAUUUAUUCCAUCAUGUGCCAAUUGAGUUCUGAUCCCAUCAUUCUUAAAUAGCUUACAACAAAAGCAAAAUACUUUAUCCAAACUUUUUGAAUAUAUCAACCAUUUUCUAUCAUAAGUCUCUCCAUUAGGUAAUCUUCGAACAUAAUGUAUGGAUGAGAAGUGUCGAUUUGCUCUAUCUUUCAGAAAAAUCAUAUCAUGUUCUCUUACAGGACCUUUCAAUACAAUUAAAUCUCUUAAAUUCGUAUUCAUAUUUCCCCAAUUUGCUGGAUCAAUAAGGUCGAGAAAAAAUGGUUCAUUAUCUUUGUCAGUAGACACCUCUUUAUUCAUCACACAAUGUCCUUCCUCAAUUGUAUUAUUUUUGUUAUCAUUCUCGUUAAACACUUCUCCAGUAACUACAUCUUCAUUAUGUGUUCGUUUACUACUGCCAAAAAACUUAUCGAGUGCCCCCUCUUGAGAUUUAAUCAAUUUUUCAAUCUUUUCCUUUCUUUUUCUUUUGGCACAUCCAGAUUCAAAUUUUCUUGUAGACAUAAUAAUAAGCAAAGAGCGAUAAAACUUGAUUGAUAAGUCCCCAAAUUGAAAGGAUUAUGAAAUUGGUGGUAGUGGUGGUUGCGGUGGUGCUUGAAGUAGACAACGCGGCUAUUCCAAGUUGCGAUUAAAAAUGCAAAGUCUGAAAAAGUGGAGCAAAAAUGGAGCAAAAUAAGAAUUCAUUACUUGUAUAGUUGUAUUGAAAUAAUAUCAAGAGAGGGCACUAAAAUUCUACUGCCGAAAAAUCAAAAAUCAAAACUUAUAUUGAAAUAACAUCACCACUAAUUACUAAAAUCCUAUUCCUACUGGCUACUGCCGAAAAAUGGAAGAAAAAGGCUAAAUUUGAUACAGAGCAAGAGCCUUGCUUGUCUCAAAGUUGUCACACAAUUUGCUCUAGAGUGCCGGCAAUCAAAUUACGCAAAGCAAAUCGAUAAGGAGAUGCCCUCUAUGACGUCUUCUUCAAAAAAAAACUAGUAUAAGAUAAAAAAAAUUAAAAAAAUUAAAAAAAUCAGAUAUAGUAGCAAGAGUUAUUUGGUCAUUUCUAGCAGAAUUUGAGGAUGCAACAGCCUACGAAUUACGAAAUGAUAUUAAGAACUAUUCAAGAAGUUCGAAAUAUUUUCUUCUGCUGUACAGAUUACCGACACUCAAAACCAUGAAAAUAAUAUUACAGGUCCUGCCAUGGCUGUUUCUUUCUGCAUUCUAGCACUUAACAACCUAAACAUGGGCUACAAAUUCGUGUACUCGGGCAAAUGUACAACUGUACAAGAUAAAUUCUUGUUGGAUUUUGUUUAUUAUCAUAAAUGGACAUGAUUUCUGAUUACCAGAAUGAAGGGAAAUUUUUAAUAAAGUAUAAUACAGUUUUGAUAAAAAAAAAUUGACGCCCAACCUGUGGAUUUCACACCUGAGGAUUUCGCCCAACCUGUGGAUUAAUUUUGCCUUCUAGAUCGGAGUGCCGUUUGUGGAGAUUGGAGAAGAUGAAGAGAAGACACUAAUGGAGAAACUGAAUGCAGUCCGUUUGUUUUCCUCUUUUAUGUGUAAACUUCAAUUUAAUUUUUUUUUUUAAAUGAAGUGGACGAUUUUGGGCUUUUUAGAGGCCCCUAAAAUAUGAGGCCCAAGGCAGUGGCCUCACUUGCCUUGGGCCAGGGCCGGCCCUGCCUCCUUAACCAAUAGGUUUACAUAACGUCAUAGGACAUUUCAUCAUUAUAUUGUUUUAAACACAAUUAUCAUUUCCUUCCACCUACAUAUCUAUCAAGGACAAUGUCAAAAAUUCUUUGGUAAAGUAGAAUAAUUCAUGUUUUUUCAAGAAUGCGUGAUUGAAAAUUAGUGUGGAAGAGAAGAUAUUUUCAAAUAAUCACUUUCAAACAUGGACUUAAUUUCAAUUUUGAUAACUCAUUACAAUUCCAAUAAAGGAAAUUGAUAACGUAAUCAAUAUACGAAGGCCACCACACAUGUAUGUUGGUUGCGAUGUUAAAGAAGUACAACUUCAGUUAAAAAAUGAUGACUAUCAUUAUUGAUUGCCACGUUAUCAAUUUUUCCAUUAGCCCAAAUGACGGAAUUGAACAAAGUUACCAAUAAAAUCAAAUUAAAGUGUAAUUAUCUCACAGAAUAAAAUCAAAAAUAAUUACUCCGAAGUAAUUGGAAUAAUUCUAAUUAAAGUUUCGUUUAUAUAUUUCUAUUCGGAAUUAUGGAUAGGCUAACAAAAAAAGAUUUUACACCAAGAAAAACAAAGGUAAACAAAUUGUUACCAAGUACGAAAAUUGAGGGAGAACAAGGGAGUAUUUUAAAUUUGACCAUAAUAUCCUUUACAAAAGGGGGGAAUAUAAACCCUUGUGUACACCAAAAGUGUACAAGUAAAAUAAUUCAUUAUAAUAAUGGACCUACAUAAUAAAUGGGUAAUAAUAUUAAAUGUAUAAUACUUGAUUUUUAUUUUAAAUUAUUAAGAAUUUAUAUUUUUAUUCGAAACAUGCCCACAGUAUACAACGUCGAUAUUUGGGCUCCAUUAAAAUGAGAUCUUCGAGGGAAAUCUAUUUCGGAUUAGUAAUUUUUUGGAAAAUAUUUGGUUAAAAAAUGAGGAAAAGUAUUGAGUUUACUGUAACAAUAUUAUUGGAGAAUGCGUAGUUUAAAAUGAAUUUUGAAAAAAUGCAUUAAAAAAUAAGAAAAAAU